CCUUAACCUGAAGCCGAGCUGAGCCUGUAGGUGAAGCACAGAUGAGGCGUUAUAAAGAGUCUACAAAAUAGACACCUGGCCUUCAGAACUUUAGAGCUUUUUGUGGAUCUUGUACAAACAACAGCACUACCAUGAUUGCUGAAUUGUUGGCAGACAAUAAUGAAGGCCUAUUCAGGUACAGUUAUGUUGGGUGGUCCUAGAGAUUCAGAGCAAAGUAGAUGAUGCCAGACAGUCUUCAGGUUCACUGUUCUCUCCAUGUUUCAGAAAUGUGAUUUAUCUUUCAAUUCAACUUUUAUAGAGAUCCAUCCCAGAAGUGGAGGAUACGUUAAGUUUAGAUGAGAACACUAAAAGGCAGUGUGAAAAUAUUUAUAUAAAAAAAGAAUUUUAAGAAAUAAUAAACGCUCUACAUCUAACUAAAACCCUGACCCUAACAUCUAUUUCCCCUUAGGGUGAGAAAAACCCUCAGAAAUUACAACAUUUCAUCAGUUAAAUAAUUCAUCUGAAUUCUUGUCAGGGCAAGUGUAAGCCUAUGAUUCCCCCCUUAUACUUCUCAUGCUCUUGAACACUGCGAGAGGGUUGUCAGAUGAUGCAAAGAAAACCAUCCUAAAGGGUAAGCAUUAGUGACAGAGAGAUAGAGAGCGAGAGAGAGAAAAGAUAAUGUGAGAGGAAGAGAAAGAACUUGUCAAUGAGGUUAUUAAGAGAAAGGAGCAAUUCAGUCUGACAGAGGGCAGCAUGGGCGCAGGUGCUGGCAAGAAAGAAGGAAAGGUUGAAAAGCACUUCAAAGGAUGAUUGGUAACUGAUUCCCUUGACUUCUCCCCUGCAAAUAAAGUAUAAUGUAACAAUUUCUGCAAGCCACUGAAGAAGGGAAUAAGUCUGCACUGCAUACACAGAGGAGCUAGUCUAAGAGGGCGUACAUUUUGCUGCAAACUAAACAAAGCUGUGCAUGAUUUCUACCGUGACAUUUUAAGAGAGAA